rnacentral:lncRNA from 1 species
CCACUUCAAACAUUAGAGGUAAUAUCUAAAACAUGGGCAAGGCAGGAACUCCCACAUUGUCAACACAGAGUGCCGGAUCCCAUCGCAACUGCUGUGUUUCAUGGAACGUUCUCCAAGCCUAUCCAUCCUUUAAAUACUUUCACAACCAUCUCACAACUCAAGGAAAGAAAGAGGUCACUCUUCUAAUUCUUAGCAUUGCUCUCUCGUUUGUUUCCUCAAGUUCCAGGGGUCACUCAAGAACACGAUGAUGAUCACACUCUUCCAAUUUCUCGUCAUUGCGGCACCAAUCUUCCAGGUGAUCACAGCCUCCGACGCCGAUCCCCUCCAGGACUUUUGUGUGGCCGACCUCGCAAAGGACCUCACUCUCAAUGGCUACCCUUGCAAGCGAGCAGCCAACACCACCACCGAGGAUUUCAUCUUCUCCGGCCUUCGAAACUCCGCAAACACCAGCGGCCCAUCGAGAGCCGACGCGGUGUUUGGCUUCGUCCACAGUUAUCCGGGGCUCAACUCUCUCGGCCUCUCCAUAGCCAGGCUCGACUGGGCUCCCGGCGGUCUCAUCCCUCCACACACGCACCCGCGAGGCUCAGAGAUCAUCUACGUCGUGGAAGGGAGCUUGUACGCCGGAUUCGUCACCACCCAGAACCAGCUCUUUGCUCGGGUCAUCUCCAAAGGCGACGUGAUGAUCUUCCCGCGGGGUUUGAUACACUGGCAGCUCAACGUUGGUAACACCACCGCCAUGGCCGUGGUGACGCUGGAUUCGCAGUCACCGGGCUUCCAGCUUAUCGCAAGCUCCAUGUUUGGAUCGGACAUCCUGGACGAGGUGCUCGUCAAGACGUUCUUUAUUGAUGAGAAUGCGGUUCGGCAGCUCAAGGCGACGUUCUCUGGCUCCUCCUAAAUAGUUCACUUGAAAGUAAAAAUAAAUUUUGUACGGUAGAUUUUAUGGAAACUUGAUCGUUCUUUCUUUCAUUUUCAACACGUUAACUUCACUGACGUUUGUCGACUUUGUCGCUUAGUUUAUUUUUCAUGUGCAUAAAUUGACGUGGAGGAGAUGAGUGUGUUGUCCAGAUCCAGCAGCGGCAGGAGCGUCACACUCUCAUCAUAUUUUAAAGGUUUAUUUAGGAAAGGUCCACAAAGUUGAAAUAUUGUCUCACACUUUUGGAGAUGAUAAAUUUCUUCUUAUUGACCUUAUCUAGCACAUUUUAUAUAAUUUUUUAGUACACUAUUGAUUUCUUUAAGAUUCUCCGAUUUGAAACUGGCCAGCAAGCAAAUCCAACAAAAGUACACCACUGCCAUUCCGGCCGCAAGGAAAUGUGCUACUGGAAGACCAAAGGGGGAUUGUCCAAGUACUGGAAUCGUGAUUUUGAUCACAUGAUGUCUUUUAUUAUACGUUCCACACUCUAGCAUAAAACGGUCCGGAUGGGAAAUUAGAGGCCGGGGGAUUGGUUGGACGAUGCAAACGAUUGCGAAAUGAAGGGAAUUUUAGGAUUGUUUCAUUUUGUGAUACAUAAAACAUCUAUACUUUCUAAACUUCACACUCAUAUUUUAAAGAAACUCACUGGAAGUCAAGAUCAUUUGAAACUAGAAAACUAUUGGCAGGCUGACGUGUCAGUUGUGCAGAGUUUUUGGGGAGCUAGGCGUGGCAAAGGGGAGCCCGAUGGAGCUUUGGAAAUGCGUACAAAGAUUAUUUCGACAAAGAAUGCAUACACCGAAGAUCAGAAACUUGUGGAUCUAAAACAGAUGUAAAUCAUGGCGUGUCAAGCAGGACCUUCCACAUUGUCAACACAUUGCACCUUCCAUCCUUCGUGGAACCUCCACAUUGUCUUGGCACCCACGCCUUUUCAUCCUUCAAAUACCAUCUCACAACUCAAGGUACUUCUCAAAAAAGAGAUCCACUCUUCCUUUAGUUCUUCUCACAAUCGUUUGUUUCCUCAAGCUCAAAAACACGAUGAUGUUCACACUCCUCCAACUUCUCGUCAUUGCGGCACCAAUCUUCCAGGUGAUCUUAGCCUCCGACCCCGAUCCCCUCCAGGAUUUUUGCGUGGCCGACCUCGCAAAGGACCUCACUCUCAAUGGCUACCCUUGCAAGCGAGCAGCCAAUACCACCACCGAGGAUUUCAUCUUCUCGGGCCUUCGAAACUCCGGAAACA